GUAAAAACAAACAAUUUUAUGUCAUUAUAAUUUUACCAUUUGUUUGACUAUAUGGCUUCUGAGCCUCUUUUUAAAGUCUCACACAGCUGUAUUUGUAAAAAUGAUCACUUUACCAUACUGAAAAAUAACAUGAAUAUUUAUAUUGGGUUCACUAUUCUAAAUUCAGUCAAAGUGUGUUUCAAAAGAAAGAAAUAAGUGGGACAAAUGACCAGAAUGAGAAAAGCCUCAAAUCUCAACCACAACAAGAGAUUUCAAAGCCCCUUAGCAUAAAUACCUCCCACCACAAUGAACCAUUCACACAAUGUCCUCAUCCUUUUCAGUCACUGAGAUGGAGCGAUAAAAAGUUACAGUCAUCAUAUUUGUGUGUGUACGUCCAUAUUUGUGUUUGAUAUGUUAUGUUACAUGCCAUUGUAUUGAUUUGAUUGACAGUCCUCUUUCAUGUAUUUGAACUUGUAUUUUCUUUUGGAGGUGUUUUGUUCUGUGAACAGCAGAGAGUCUUUGGGGCAGAAGUGGACAUGAGAGUUAAAGCAGAAGACAACAUCACUCUCUACUGUGACAAUGUAUGUAUGUAUAUAUAUAUAUAUAUAUAUAUAUAUAUAUAUAUAUAUAUAUAUAUAUAUAUAUAUAUAUAUAUAUUUAUUUAUUUAUUAUAGUAGCAUAAUUGUAUUUAAUAUAACUUGUAACAGGAGUAGGUAUAUAUCAGUGGUAAAUAGCCUUUUUUUUUUCUUUGUGGUGCUGAUACUGCUGACUCGUGUUUUACUGUUCGUGAAAAUGAAGGUGAGAGUACAAACCACAAAUGUUUCCACUUGAGCAUGCAACAGUGAACAUCAUGAAAGUGUUUGUGUUUAACCUGGUGUGGCUGCAUGCUGGACAUACGGAUGAAUGUAAGUGUGAAAACAAACAAAAACAGAAAGAAGCAUGUUGAAAAAGGUUAACUGCAAGGUGUUAUCUAUCUAUCUAUCUAUCUAUCUAUCUAUCUAUCUAUCUAUCUAUCUAUCUAUCUAUCUAUCUAUCUAUCUAUCUAUCUAUCUAUCUAUCUAUCUAUCUAUCUAUCUAUCUAUCUAUCUAUCUAUCUAUCUAUCUAUCUAUCUACAUGCUCUGCUGGAUGCUGCUGUCCAGUGUGUGUCCAGUGCGUGUUCUCCUCUUCUCCAUAUGUAUGUACUGCUUCUGUCAGAGGAAAACUACAGAUUCUGGUACUGAAACGCAGACUGAGAACAGACAUGUUGAGGUAUUGUAUUAUACAGUAUGUGCACAG
rnacentral:lncRNA from 1 species